ensembl:misc_RNA Metazoa_SRP Metazoan signal recognition particle RNA
GCCAGGUGUGGUGAUGCAUACCUGCAGUCCCAGCAACUCAGGAGGCUGAGGCAGGAGUGCUGCUUGAGUCUAGGAGUUCUGGGCUGUAGCAUGCUAUUAUGGAUCGGCUGUCUGCACUAAGUUCAGCAUCAAUGUGGUGACCUUCCAGGAGCCAGGGACCACCAGGUUGCCUAAGAAAGGUGAACUGGCCCACAUCAGAAACAGAGCGGGUCAAAACUCCUGUGCUGAUUAGUCAUGGGAUUGCACCUGUGAAUAGCCACUGCUAUUCAGCCUGGGCAACAUAACAAGAUCCUGUUUCAA